rnacentral:rRNA from 1 species
AGAGUUUGCUUCUGGCUCAGGAUGAACGCUGGCGGCGUGCUUAACACAUGCAAGUCGAACGAAGCAUUUGCGACAGAUUUCUUCGGAAUGAAAUUGCUUAUGACUGAGUGGCGGACGGGUGAGUAACGCGUGGGUAACCUGCCUUGUACUGGGGGAUAGCAGCUGGAAACGGCUGGUAAUACCGCAUAAGCGCACAAUGUUGCAUGACAUGGUGUGAAAAACUCCGGUGGUAUAAGAUGGACCCGCGUCUGAUUAGCUAGUUGGUGAGAUAACAGCCCACCAAGGCGACGAUCAGUAGCCGACCUGAGAGGGUGACCGGCCACAUUGGGACUGAGACACGGCCCAGACUCCUACGGGAGGCAGCAGUGGGGAAUAUUGCACAAUGGAGGAAACUCUGAUGCAGCGACGCCGCGUGAGUGAAGAAGUAAUUCGUUAUGUAAAGCUCUAUCAGCAGGGAAGAUAGUGACGGUACCUGACUAAGAAGCUCCGGCUAAAUACGUGCCAGCAGCCGCGGUAAUACGUAUGGAGCAAGCGUUAUCCGGAUUUACUGGGUGUAAAGGGAGUGUAGGUGGCCAUGCAAGUCAGAAGUGAAAAUCCGGGGCUCAACCCCGGAACUGCUUUUGAAACUGUAAGGCUAGAGUGCAGGAGGGGUGAGUGGAAUUCCUAGUGUAGCGGUGAAAUGCGUAGAUAUUAGGAGGAACACCAGUGGCGAAGGCGGCUCACUGGACUGUAACUGACACUGAGGCUCGAAAGCGUGGGGAGCAAACAGGAUUAGAUACCCUGGUAGUCCACGCCGUAAACGAUGAA